CCUACUCUUGACAUCCAGAGAAUUUGCUAGAGAUAGCUUAGUGCCUUCGGGAACUCUGAGACAGGUGCUGCAUGGCUGUCGUCAGCUCGUGUUGUGAAAUGUUGGGUUAAGUCCCGCAACGAGCGCAACCCUUAUCCUUUGUUGCCAGCGCGUAAUGGCGGGAACUCAAAGGAGACUGCCGGUGAUAAACCGGAGGAAGGUGGGGAUGACGUCAAGUCAUCAUGGCCCUUACGAGUAGGGCUACACACGUGCUACAAUGGCAUAUACAAAGAGAAGCGAACUCGCGAGAGCAAGCGGACCUCAUAAAGUAUGUCGUAGUCCGGAUUGGAGUCUGCAACUCGACUCCAUGAAGUCGGAAUCGCUAGUAAUCGUAGAUCAGAAUGCUACGGUGAAUACGUUCCCGGGUCUUGUACACAC
rnacentral:rRNA from 1 species